AUGGGGACGCAGGUGUCCACUCUGACUGAAGCUCUUUCCACAUUCCAUGCAUUUAUAUGGCUUCUCCCCUGUGUGGGUCCUUUGAUGGGAACGGAGACUGCCAUUCCGAGUGAAGCUUUUCCCACAUUCCAUGCAUUUAUAUGGCUUCUCCCCUCUGUGUGUCCUUUGAUGGUCAUUAAGAUGUCCUCUUCGACUGAAGUUCUUUCCACAAUCCAUACAUUGAUAUGGCUUCUCCCCUGUGUGGGUCUUUUGAUGGGAACUAAGAUGUCCUCUGUUACUGAAGCUCUUUCCACAUUCCAUGCAUUCAAAUGGUUUCUCCCCUGUGUGGGUCCUUUGAUGGCAGUCCAAAUGUUCCUUGCUACUGAAGCUCUUUCCACAUUCCAUGCAUUCAAACGGUUUCUCCCCUGUGUGGAUCCUUUGAUGAGAACGGAGAUUUCCACUAAUAUUGAAGCUCUUUCCACAUUCUAUGCAUUUAUAUGGCUUCUCGCCUGUGUGGGUCCUUUGAUGAGAAUUCAGAGCUCCACUAUGACUGAAGCUCUUUCCACAUUCCAUACAUUGAUAUGGCUUCUCCCCUGUGUGGGUCCUUUGAUGGGAACGAAGUUGUCCACUCCAUUUGAAGCUCUUUCCACAUUCCACGCAUUUAUGUGGCUUCUCCCCUGUGUGAGAUCUUUUAUGAGAAUGGAGACCUCCACUCUGACUGAAGCUCUUCCCACAUUCCAUGCAUUGAUAUGGCUUUUCCCCUGUGUGAAUCCUUUGAUGGUAAUGCAGACCGUCCUUCUGACUGAAGCUCUUUCCACAUUCCUUGCAUUUAUGUGGCUUCUCCCCUGUGUGGGUCAUUUGGUGGAGAUGCAGCUUUCCACUCUGACUGAAGCUCUUUCCACAUUCCUUGCAUGUAUAUGGCUUCUCCCCUGUGUGGGUCCUUUGAUGAGAAUAGAAAGCUCCACUAUGACUGAAGCUCUUUCCACAUUCCAUGCAUUGAUGUGGCUUCUCCCCUGUGUGGGUCCUUUGGUGACUCUUCAGAUCUCCAUUCCAACUGAAGCUCCUUCCACAUUCCAUGCAUUGAUAUGGCUUCUCUCCAGUGUGAACUCGUUGAUGUUUAUUAAGAUUACUUCUGCUACUUAA
rnacentral:lncRNA from 1 species